rnacentral:pre_miRNA from 1 species
CAAGUACUCCAUCCGUUCCGAAUUACUUGUCGCAGGUAUGGAUGUAUCUAGAUGUAUUUUAGUUCUAGAUACAUUCAUUUCUGCGACGAGUAAUAUGAAACGAAGGGAGUAGAGC